GCGGAGGAAAAGAAACUAACAA
rnacentral:snRNA from 1 species